rnacentral:rRNA from 1 species
AUUGAACGCUGGCGGCAGGCUUAACACAUGCAAGUCGAGCGGAGAUGAGGUGCUUGCACCUUAUCUUAGCGGCGGACGGGUGAGUAAUGCUUAGGAAUCUACCUAUUAGUGGGGGACAACAUUCCGAAAGGAAUGCUAAUACCGCAUACGCCCUACGGGGGAAAGCAGGGGAUCUUCGGACCUUGCGCUAAUAGAGGAGCCUAAGUCGGAUUAGCUAGUUGGUGGGGUAAAGGCCUACCAAGGCGACGAUCUGUAGCGGGUCUGAGAGGAUGAUCCGCCACACUGGGACUGAGACACGGCCCAGACUCCUACGGGAGGCAGCAGUGGGGAAUAUUGGACAAUGGGCGGAAGCCUGAUCCAGCCAUGCCGCGUGUGUGAAGAAGGCCUUUUGGUUGUAAAGCACUUUAAGCGAGGAGGAGGCUACCUGGAUUAAUACUCUAGGAUAGUGGACGUUACUCGCAGAAUAAGCACCGGCUAACUCUGUGCCAGCCGCCGCAGUAAAAC